UGGGGAAUAUUGGACAAUGGGCGCAAGCCUGAUCCAGCCAUGCCGCGUGUGUGAAGAAGGCCUUCGGGUUGUAAAGCACUUUCAGCGAGGAGGAAGGGAGUUGUGUUAAUAGCACAGCUUCUUGACGUUACUCGCAGAAGAAGCACCGGCUAACUCUGUGCCAGCAGCCGCGGUAAUACAGAGGGUGCAAGCGUUAAUCGGAAUUACUGGGCGUAAAGCGCACGUAGGCGGUUUUUAAGUCAGAUGUGAAAGCCCCGGGCUCAACCUGGGAAUUGCAUUUGAAACUGGAAAACUAGAGUGUGUGAGAGGGGGGUAGAAUUCCAAGUGUAGCGGUGAAAUGCGUAGAGAUUUGGAGGAAUACCAGUGGCGAAGGCGGCCCCCUGGCACAACACUGACGCUCAGGUGCGAAAGCG
rnacentral:rRNA from 1 species